UAGCAGAGGUGCCAAGCGUUUAGGCGGAAUCACUGGGCUUAAAGCGUGUGUAGGCGGCGGCGUAAAGUACCUUGUGAAAUCCCCACGCUCAACCGUGGAACUGCUCGGUAUACUGCGAUCGGCUUGAGCCAACUAGGGGACGACCGGAACAAACGGUGGAGCGGUGAAAUGCGUUAGGAUAUCGUUUGGAACGCCGAUGGUGAAAACGAAGGUCGCUGGGGGUUGUGCUGACGCUGAGACACGAAAGCCCAGGGGAGCGAACGGG
rnacentral:rRNA from 1 species